CUGUGCCGGAGGCGUGAGUCCUCACCGGAGCCGCUCGGUCCUGCGGCCGCGCUCGGUCCGCCCUGGGCAGGCUCAGGGGUGGCGGACGAGCUGGCGAGCAGAGGGGCGGCGCCCUGACGGGCGGGGCGACCCGGAGCUGCAGAGCGGGAUGGACAGGUGGGCGUGGGCUGCGCGGCCGGCGGAACUGGCCGGCCAUCCCGCCGCGGCCCUGACGCCUGGGCUGCGCUGGCUGCUGGGGUCAAAUCCCAGCUGACCUUUCUCCGGAGGAAAGAUAAAUUAUUAUGGUUGUGUGUGAGCGUCAGUGCAAAUGUUUUCCGAGCCCUCCUCCGGCUCAGGGUGCCUUUUGGAUCCCCCGCAUUCCUCAACCCCGGCCAGGGAGCGGCGGCGCCCUUUGUGUCUCCGCGGAGCGCAUGCCACCUCGGGGAAAACAACGAAUCUGAGUUAGAACGGGGAGAGAGAGACACUAGCGUGAGUUUUGUUAAUCUUUUAAAGCCUCCCGGUGAACCUAGAAACCCAAAAAUUAUCUUGAACAGCAAAUGCUCUGGGGUUUAGAGAACGUUUGUUUCUUUGUCUUUUUCAUUGCCUCUUCCGUGCCAAAAACAAUCUGUUUGCUGGAGAACACAUCCGGAAAGAGCUGUUUUCCCCUGUUCAUCCAGGUAAAAUUGGUGUUUGGCAUGCUCUAAGGGAAAGCCUUCACCGGAGCUAAGAGAGCAAUACGCUGUAUUUGACAUGCCCUCUUUUAUUUCUGCUCUCUCUCCCUUUUCCAGUGAGAAGAUAUGUUUUCUCUCUACCAGUUAGAUUUCUUCUUUUGUCAGAAAGAAGAGCAUCUGUCCUCCAGGCUGGGCUUUGUCUCCGUUUGCUCUGCGACUGCACUAGCGCAGCAAGGCUACAUAAGGAGGCUUUUCAGCAGAGGAGCCUGGUGUUGAACUCGUGCCAUGGGGAAUGAAUUCUUCUAUAGACCCCUCGUCCUCUUCUGGAAGUUAAAGGGGGGCGAUUUGCAAAAAAAGCAUAUGUGUAUGAAUGUGUCUUCCUGUCCUAGCAUUUUGUGCCUUUAAGUCCUUGUGCUUCUGAGUGGACUCGACUGUCAGUGCCGCUCAAGGCCCUCACUAGCCUCCACACUCAGAGUUCCCCUGACAGAGCCAGUGUAAACUGGUUUUCACAGCAUGAGCUGUAUUCCUGCUGAAGAACUGGCUUUUACAGAAUUUGCAAAGCUAGCAAUUAGACAACUAACACCCAUGCCACUGUGUUGUUAAAGGGAACAUUCAGUAUUGCUAGAGACCGAGAAAGGCUCUCUGCAGCGUUGUUUUUAUGGGAAGAAAUAUGUAUGUAGAGAAGCCAACAGACAGUGCAGGGCUAAAUCCAUGUCCGCUGCCCUUGGUUUCUGGUUUACUUUAAAAAGCUCCAUCUGUAUCAUCUUCACAAGUGAACCAGUUCCCAAAGUAUAAUGCAUUGUAAGUAUUUAGUAUAUUGAUAACGGCUUGAAAUCUACAGAAUACCUGUGAUUUUUCUCACAGCCGAAAAGACCCGAACUAUUAUGUGUUCAACCAAGGAGAGCUUUAGGCUGGGCCCACUAUUCCACUAAUCCUCAUUGUUUGAGACGCAGCGAUAAAUGGGGAGUGGUAGGCCAGGCCUGUGUUCCAAGAACAGGGAGGCGUGGCAGGAGGAUGAGGAAUUGACCUCCUAGAAGU
rnacentral:lncRNA from 1 species